AAUUUGGCACCCAUCUGUGCAGAACCCAACUAAGCGGUUUGCAGUUGGCAAUAUAGCAAGAUUGUUAGAAGUGCAAAGGCUAUUCACCGCUGUUCCCCAGCAGAGUAACAACCAAAGCACAGCCCUGCUCAUCUUCACUGCUACCUUUCCACAUGGUUUUUCUCUGCCAUACAAACUGUGUGAAUCAUGAUUAUUCAUCUGAGAAGGAGACUUUGAUCUCUCUGCAUGUACUUACCAGUUAUUUAACUGAUACGCUUCAGCGUGGACUCACACUGAAAUAACUUAACUUCCUUCAGCUCCUGCAAUCAUGAUUCCAAAUUCCUAAAAAUAUUGCUCUCCUGCUGGCAAGAAACCUUUGCUUCAGUUGCC
rnacentral:lncRNA from 1 species